UACGAGUGCCCCAAGCGUUAUCCGGAAUUAUUGGGCGUAAAGGGUGUGUAGGUGGUGUAGUUAGUCUCCUGUUAAAACUCAUGGCUCAACCAAGAGACUGCGGGGGAAACGGCUACGCUAGAGGGUGCGAGGGGUGAAUGGAACUCAUGGAGUAGGGGUGAAAUCCGUUGAUAUCAUGGGGAACACCAAAAGCGAAGGCAAUUCACUGGCGCAUUCCUGACACUGAAACACGAAAGCGUGGGUAGCGAACGGG
rnacentral:misc_RNA from 1 species